CCUACGGGAGGCUGCAGUAGGGAAUCUUCCACAAUGGGCGAAAGCCUGAUGGAGCAACGCCGCGUGGGUGAAGAAGGUCUUCGGAUCGUAAAACCCUGUUGUUAGAGAAGAAAGUGCGUGAGAGUAACUGUUCACGUUUCGACGGUAUCUAACCAGAAAGCCACGGCUAACUACGUGCCAGCAGCCGCGGUAAUACGUAGGUGGCAAGCGUUAUCCGGAUUUAUUGGGCGUAAAGGGAACGCAGGCGGUCUUUUAAGUCUGAUGUGAAAGCCUUCGGCUUAACCGGAGUAGUGCAUUGGAAACUGGGAGACGUGAGUGCAGGAGAGGAGAGUGGAACGCCAUGUGUAGCGGUGAAAUGCGUAGAUAUAUGGAAGAACACCAGUGGCGAAGGCGGCUCUCUGGUCUGUAACUGACGCUGAGGUUCGAAAGCGUGGGUAGCAAACAGGAUUAGAUACCCCAGUAGUC
rnacentral:rRNA from 1 species